AUUGAACGCUGGCGGCAGGCUUAACACAUGCAAGUCGAACGAGUGGCGGACGGGUGAGUAAUGCUUGGGAAUCUAGCUUAUGGAGGGGGAUAACUACGGGAAACUGUAGCUAAUACCGCGUACCAUAGGAUGAGCCCAAGUGGGAUUAGGUAGUUGGUGAGGUAAAGGCUCACCAAGGAGACGAUCGCUAGCUGGUCUGAGAGGAUGACCAGUCACACUGGGACUGAUACACGGCCCAGACUCCGACGUGAGUCAGCAGUGGGGAAGAUUGCGCAAUGGGGGCAACCUGAUGCAGCCAUGCAGCGUGAAUGAAGAAGGCCUUCGGGUUGUAAAGGUCUUUCGGUAGCGAGGCGUUACCUACAGAAGAAGCACCGGCUAACUCCGUGCCAGCAGCCGCGGUAAUUC
rnacentral:rRNA from 1 species